rnacentral:misc_RNA from 1 species
AAGCCGCGAAGCGCGGGCGACCCGGGGGUCGGGCGGGCCAGGUCCGCGAGGCCGCGGCGGCAGCUGUGCAGGCCCGGGGAGCAGCCGGCCGGGCGAGCCUCGG